rnacentral:rRNA from 1 species
AGUGAACGCUGGCGGUAGGCCUAACACAUGCAAGUCGAACGGCAGCACAGUAAGAGCUUGCUCUUACGGGUGGCGAGUGGCGGACGGGUGAGGAAUACAUCGGAAUCUACUUUUUCGUGGGGGAUAACGUAGGGAAACUUACGCUAAUACCGCAUACGACCUACGGGUGAAAGCAGGGGAUCUUCGGACCUUGCGCGAUUGAAUGAGCCGAUGUCGGAUUAGCUAGUUGGCGGGGUAAAGGCCCACCAAGGCGACGAUCCGUAGCUGGUCUGAGAGGAUGAUCAGCCACACUGGAACUGAGACACGGUCCAGACUCCUACGGGAGGCAGCAGUGGGGAAUAUUGGACAAUGGGGGCAAGCCUGAUCCAGCCAUACCGCGUGGGGGAAGAAGGCCUUCGGGUUGUAAAGCGCUUUUGUUGGGAAAGAAAAGCAGCAGGUUAAUACCCCGCUGUUAUGACGGUACCCAAAGAAUAAGCACCGGCUAACUUCGUG